rnacentral:rRNA from 1 species
UACGUAGGGACCGAGCGUUGUCCGGAAUCAUUGGGCGUAAAGAGCGUGUAGGCGGCCACUUAAGUCCUGCGUGAAAUCUUGCGGCUCAACCGCAAGCGGUCGUGGGAAACUGGGUGGCUAGAGUGCGGGAGAGGAGAGUGGAAUUCCUGGUGUAGCGGUGGAAUGCGCAGAUAUCGGGAGGAACGACCGGUGGCGAGGCGGUUCACUGGG